rnacentral:rRNA from 1 species
UAAUACGGAGGGUGCGAGCGUUAAUCGGAAUUACUGGGCGUAAAGCGCACGUAGGCGGUUGGGUAAGUCGGAUGUGAAAGCCCUGGGCUUAACCUGGGAACUGCAUUCGAAACUGCCCGGCUAGAGUAUGGGAGAGGGAAGCGGAAUUUCCGGUGUAGCGGUGAAAUGCGUAGAUAUCGGAAGGAACACCAAUGGCGAAGGCAGCUUCCUGGCCCAAUACUGACGCUCAGGUGCGAAAGCGUGGGGAUCAAACAGGAUUAGAUACCCUGGUAGUCCACGCUGUAAACGAUGAGAACUAGAUGUUGGGAGGGUUUUGCCUCUCAGUGUCGCAGCUAACGCGUGAAGUAGACCGCCUGGGGAGUACGGUCGCAAGAUUA